rnacentral:lncRNA from 1 species
UCGUCUCCCUGCCGUUCCCCCUGCUUGUGUUCACUCUCUCUCUUUCUCUCCUUCACAGAUAAAAUCCUUAAAAACAAAAGCCCCCCAGAAGAACACAGCCCAUGCGGACACCUAGACGUUUAGCCUUAAUGAAUCUCAGUUUGGACUUCUGACCUUCAAAACUGUAAUAUCUUACAUUCGUGGCAUUUUAAGCCAGCUCAGCUCCAGAACCACCCCCUCCAAGUUGUCUUCCUGGAUUUACUCAGCCCAAAGCUAUACUUCUCUUUCCUGGGUAAGUUAUAGCUCUUAGUUCAUUCCUCUUAUUUGCCCCCUAGUCCCUCAUCCGUGACCAU